ACCUCCCACUCUGACCCCACCCCUGGUCCUGGCCCCACCUCCUACUCUGACUUCAUGCUCAGCCCUGGACCCAUCUCCUAUUCUGACUUCACCUCCCACUCUGACUCCACUCUUGGCCCUGACCCCACCUACCACUCUGACCCCACCCCCCAGCCCUGACCCCACCCCAGCCCUGACCCCACCUCCUAUUCUGGCUCCACCUCCCACUCUGACUCCACCCCCGGCCCUGACCCCACCUUCUACUCUGACUCCACCCCUAGUCCCGGUCCCACCCCUGGUCCUGGCCCCACCUCCUACUCUGACUUCAUGCUCAGCCCUGGACCCACCUCCUAUUCUGACUUCCCCUCCCACUCUGACUCCACCCCCAGCCCUGACCCCACCUCCCACUCUGACUCCACCCCCAGCCCUGACCCCACCUCCUAUUCUGGCUCCACCUCCCACUCUGACGCCACCCCCGGGCCCUGGCCCUACCACAGUGGCACCGCUCUGAAAAGGUGUGCCUAUUCCCAUCUGGCUGGGGUUGGGGUGGUAAAGAGUGUGGGAGGGGGCUUUUGUGGGUCCUCGCUUUGCAGGCCUUGGGUCCUCUUGAUGGGGAGCCCACCUAGAGAGAAUCUGGAAGACAGAACUGAACUGGGGGUUCCAAGGUGCCGCAGGACAGCUUGCGACCUGCUGUCCGUGGCCGCAGCUGGUGUGGGCCUCCUCGGUCACGGGCCACUCUGUGAACAAUGGGCCUCUGUGAGCAGGGGCCUUGUGCGCUCUCCUGGCUGAGCUGUCUGCUGUGCUGUGCUUUCUCUGAAGCCAAUAGAACCAGGAGGGUGAGGAGGAAGAUGCCAGAGGAAGAUGUUCUUCUGAAUGGUUCCAGCAUCCAUCCAGCAGUUUCCAGGAAGAUGAAAGAGGCCCCCAAAUGUCACUCUUCAUGUCUUUGACCAUAACUGGGUGUCAGAAUCUGACAGGCUGACAUUGUCCCUGAAACCUGCGGGAGCAGGUAUGCUGAGUGUGGCUGCUCAUGUGCCCAGGACCCAGGCUCCUCCCAGAACUGAUUGAUAAGGGGCCCCAGGAAAGUCCCUGGUCCAGCCCUCAGUCAGCAGAGGACACAGGAUGGCAGCGGAGAGGACCCAGAGAGACUGCCAGAACCAGGCCCAGGGGCCCACGCUGCUUCUGUCUCCGGGAUCGCCCAUUUUUUCUUCUUAUGGGAAUAGAAC